ensembl:lncRNA
GCUCCGCCCCGCCCCGUCUCCCGGCACCGCGGCCGCUGGCGGCGGCUCUGCCGCGGGGGGUCCCCGCGCCCGCCCGGCCCGGGCACCGUGCCGCUUUGCGGGGCUGGGGGCUGCUCGGGGGGCCUCUCCGCGUCCCGCCGGCCCCACCCGCACCACCGCGGACGCGGUCCCGUUACGCGGGCGUCGGUGGGGGCGAGCGCUGCGCGGGGGCGCCUCUGGGUCGGGCCCCGGGGCCGGAGCUGCGGGCGCCGAGCGGGACGGGCCCCGCGGAUACGGCCGCUGGCUGCGGUGCCCCCGUGCCCCUUGGGCUGACGCGCUCCCGGUAGCGGUUCCCCGGUGGAGGUUCGGGGCUGGGGCCGGGAAGGAGCGAUUGGGCUUCUGUUGUGGCGCCCUUUCUCUGCGUGGCCGAGCGCAGCGCCGGAGCAGCCAACUGGCGUUACCCCGCCGCGGGUACUGCGAAAAGCGGAGCUCUGUCCGCGCUCCAGCGGCGUGACCGCGAGUCCCCAUCGCAGGGAUUCCUUACAGGCGAGACCCGUUCCUAACACCUGUUUGGGGUGGGCUACGGGGAAGUUUUUUUUCUUCUUUUUCGGUUGCCUUCGAGGAUGGAGAUGGAGGCGCGCAGGAGAGCCCCGCGCAGCGGAGGGCUGGGGAGGGCGGGCCGCGGGCACUGCCUGUCCUCUGGCGGCGCGGCCCCGCGGGACGGGCACGGCUCCGGGCACACGGGCGGCCGGCUGCCGUCCGCUGGCGGACGGCGUCAGGGCGGCGGAUGGGACGCGCACGGCUUGGGAAAGAAGUUUCUGGAGAGACAAAUCAAGAAGAAACCCAGGUGAAAAACAUAGUUUAUCUUCCUCCACCCAAGGUCGUCGUUCCACAGCCGUAUGCAGGGACUCUGGAGCAGUGGGUGCUGCAUGGGACAGACAGCCCUCCAAGCGGCGGUGUGCCCGGUGGCAGCAGGCAUCCGGCCUGAGCUGGUCACAUAGAAGUAUCCACAACCUCCCCAUUAAGUGAUGAGGAACACCAUAAUUUAAAAUGGAACAAGCUGAUCACCUGGUAUCUCAUUAAGCCUUCCUACCAGUGUUGCUCCCUCGUUUACUACCUGCCUCCUAUGGAAGCACUACACAUUACUUUGGUAUGGAGGGGCAAAGAGCUAUUGAAUAUUUCCCUUUGAAGAAGAAAAGGUUCUUUUAUGUCUAUUCUGUGAUGGAUUACAGUAAUAGUUAUUGCCCCGAGCCUGGAUACAUCAAUACUGAAGCUAAUUAUCGCAUCUUUUCAUGUUUUAUAGCUUAACUCUGACACCUCGGACAGCAUAUUAAUAAAUUCUUAAAAACAACAACAACAAAAAAAAGUACAUUGGUAAUCUUUUACUUUCUUAGUUCAACCUGUGAUGUAUUAACCUGUCUCUAACACUGAUCUUAGUGCCAAAGUGGUUGGCAAAAGACCUGCUUGCCCUUUGUAAGCAUGUAAGAGAAACCACAAAGUUGUUGACUUGCGUGAGUACAUACAGCUAUAUAUAACCUAUAUGUGUACGUGUGUGCGUAUAUUUAUAUCUCCAUGUUUUCUUUCCGAGAAUAAAGGAGCUGAUUCCAG